rnacentral:rRNA from 1 species
UAUGUGAUCGUCUCUCGCAUAUCAAUAAGCGGAGGAAAAGAAACUAACAAGGAUUCCCCUAGUAACGGCGAGUGAAGCGGGAAGAGCUCAAAUUUGAAAUCUUAAAGGGUUUCCCUUUACGAAUUGUAGUUUAAAGAAGUGUUUUCUGUUGAGGUUUUGGUAAAAGUUCUUUGGAAUAGGACAUCAUAGAGGGUGAGAAUCCCGUAUUUGACCUUUACUUUCAACUUUGUGAUACACUUUCAAAGAGUCGGAUUGUUUGGGAAUGCAGUCCAAAAUGGGUGGUAAAUUUCAUCUAAAGCUAAAUAUUGGCGAGAGACCGAUAGCGAACAAGUACCGUGAGGGAAAGAUGAAAAGAACUUUGAAAAGAGAGUUAAACAGUACGUGAAAUUGUCAAAAGGGAAGCGUUUGACACCAGUGUUGUUUUUCUGAAAAUCAAUUAAAGAACUGUUUAUGCUAAGCUGUUUAGACUUUAUCAGCUAUCUGCUUAGUUUUGAGCUUUUCUUUAAUGCACUUUUCAGUUAACAAGUCAACAUCAAUUUCUUUUGCUGUAAAAAAGCUUGAGGAAGGUGGCUUGAGAUUCGUCUUAAGUGUUUAUAGCCUCUUGCCUAUGCAGUCGGAGAGAUUGAGGUCUGCAGCGUAGAUCCUUCGGGGCUAAAUGCAUUUGUGCUAAGUUAUAGCAUUUUAUAGACAACUUGUUGACUAUGAUUUGUCUUGUAGCUUACUCGCUUAUGUUAUUUUACCUACGCUUAGGAUGUUGAACGCGCACAGAGUCUC